UAACUUCCGCUUUAGACGUCGAGUUGCAAGAACUCUGCAAAGGUCUGUAUCAACAGUACUAGUAUAGCUAGCUAGCUUUGUCACAUAAAUAGCUAAGUAUAGGGGCCGGGGUGUGUACAGGGUAGAGACUGAGUGAUGGAUCUCAAGAGAUGAUGUGGUCUAAGAGCAAGAUACAUGAAAAGGAUACUAAAAAAGAAGGUUUCUCAACAGCUUCGGAUAUCGUCAUUUCUUGAACAGAGUAUGAAUUCUUAAUUUCGAGCAAACCAAGAGGUUGAGUGGAAUCAGGAUCGUGUACCAAACCAUCUGGUGUUCCUGCUAACCAAGGGUUUUCAGUGGAUACAAACAACCCACAUUUCUCAACGGACAAGUUAGAAUGCCCCUGUUGUUUCAUGUGGCUCCAGAAUCUCUGUGUCUGGGUCUUCACUGAGUGCACCAUUUGAAGAAGUUGGUUCUUCUCGUUUCUUUGCUGUUGAGCAGAAGUCAGAGCUACAUGCGUCAUGAAUCCCAAAACAAUGGUUUGGGCCAUUAAUGAGAUCUCUCUCUAAACGUUUGAUAGCUGUUUUCCUGUUUGGUUCUCGGCUUCGCAUUCAAAUUGCACAGCGUGCAGAACUAACCAGCCGUUUCCGCAUUUUUUCAGUGAGGCCUCCACGCCUGGAAUUUUGAUUGCUAUUUGAACUGAACGCCCACUAACUACUUCCUAUAUAGCUUGCGCAGUAAAAUUGUGCUGAGCUGGCACACCCUUUUACAUUGAAGUCAUUGUAAAAUUAAUGCGUUUUUGCAGCCUCUGCAUUCUGCAAUGCAUGCGCUAUUAU